GAAAAAUAAAAUCUUAACCCAUGGUAUUCAGCAACAAUAAAUUGGAAAACAUUCAACAUAUGAGAAUAUGAUGCGUUUAAUAAACUAGCUAUAAAGAUUAAAUUAUCCUGAAAACAAAAUUUAAGAACUUGAUCCACCAAGAGAAACCCAAAAGAACCCAUUAACAUUUUAGUUGUAAGAUCCCAAAAUACAUAACAUCAAAACAUUCUUGAAAAUCACAGAAGCAUAAAACAUAAAAAUCCAACUUUAACGGUAACUCUUCUGGAACCUGG
rnacentral:misc_RNA from 1 species